AAAUUGAAGAGUUUGAUCAUGGCUCAGAUUGAACGCUGGCGGCAGGCCUAACACAUGCAAGUCGAACGGUAACAGGAAGCAGCUUGCUGCUUUGCUGACGAGUGGCGGACGGGUGAGUAAUGUCUGGGAAACUGCCUGAUGGAGGGGGAUAACUACUGGAAACGGUAGCUAAUACCGCAUAACGUCGCAAGACCAAAGAGGGGGACCUUCGGGCCUCUUGCCAUCGGAUGUGCCCAGAUGGGAUUAGCUAGUAGGUGGGGUAACGGCUCACCUAGGCGACGAUCCCUAGCUGGUCUGAGAGGAUGACCAGCCACACUGGAACUGAGACACGGUCCAGACUCCUACGGGAGGCAGCAGUGGGGAAUAUUGCACAAUGGGCGCAAGCCUGAUGCAGCCAUGCCGCGUGUAUGAAGAAGGCCUUCGGGUUGUAAAGUACUUUCAGCGGGGAGGAAGGGAGUAAAGUUAAUACCUUUGCUCAUUGACGUUACCCGCAGAAGAAGCACCGGCUAACUCCGUGCCAGCAGCCGCGGUAAUACGGAGGGUGCAAGCGUUAAUCGGAAUUACUGGGCGUAAAGCGCACGCAGGCGGUUUGUUAAGUCAGAUGUGAAAUCCCCGGGCUCAACCUGGGAACUGCAUCUGAUACUGGCAAGCUUGAGUCUCGUAGAGGGGGGGUAGAAUUCCAGGUGUAGCGGUGAAAUGCGUAGAGAUCUGGAGGAAUACCGGUGGCGAAGGCGGCCCCCUGGACGAAGACUGACGCUCAGGUGCGAAAGCGUGGGGAGCAAACAGGAUUAGAUACCCUGGUAGUCCACGCCGUAAACGAUGUCGACUUGGAGGUUGUGCCCUUGAGGCGUGGCUUCCGGAGCUAACGUGUUAAGUCGACCGCCUGGGGAGUACGGCCGCAAGGUUAAAACUCAAAUGAAUUGACGGGGGCCCGCACAAGCGGUGGAGCAUGUGGUUUAAUUCGAUGCAACGCGAAGAACCUUACCUGGUCUUGACAUCCACGGAAGUUUUCAGAGAUGAGAAUGUGCCUUCGGGAACCGUGAGACAGGUGCUGCAUGGCUGUCGUCAGCUCGUGUUGUGAAAUGUUGGGUUAAGUCCCGCAACGAGCGCAACCCUUAUCCUUUGUUGCCAGCGGUCCGGCCGGGAACUCAAAGGAGACUGCCAGUGAUAAACUGGAGGAAGGUGGGGAUGACGUCAAGUCAUCAUGGCCCUUACGACCAGGGCUACACACGUGCUACAAUGGCGCAUACAAAGAGAAGCGACCUCGCGAGAGCAAGCGGACCUCAUAAAGUGCGUCGUAGUCCGGAUUGGAGUCUGCAACUCGACUCCAUGAAGUCGGAAUCGCUAGUAAUCGUGGAUCAGAAUGCCACGGUGAAUACGUUCCCGGGCCUUGUACACACCGCCCGUCACACCAUGGGAGUGGGUUGCAAAAGAAGUAGGUAGCUUAACCUUCGGGAGGGCGCUUACCACUUUGUGAUUCAUGACUGGGGUGAAGUCGUAACAAGGUAACCGUAGGGGAACCUGCGGUUGGAUCACCUCCUUA
rnacentral:rRNA from 1 species